UGGGGAAUUUUGGACAAUGGGCGAAAGCCUGAUCCAGCAAUGCCGCGUGUGUGAAGAAGGCCUUCGGGUUGUAAAGCACUUUUGUCCGGAAAGAAAUCCUUGGCUCUAAUACAGUCGGGGGAUGACGGUACCGGAAGAAUAAGCACCGGCUAACUACGUGCCAGCAGCCGCGGUAAUACGUAGGGUGCAAGCGUUAAUCGGAAUUACUGGGCGUAAAGCGUGCGCAGGCGGUUUGCUAAGACCGAUGUGAAAUCCCCGGGCUCAACCUGGGAACUGCAUUGGUGACUGGCAGGCUAGAGUAUGGCAGAGGGGGGUUAGAAUUCCACGUGUAGCAGUGAAAUGCGUAGAGAUGUGGAGGAAUACCGAUGGCGAAGGCAGCCCCCUGAGCCAAUACUGACGCUCAUGCACGAAAGCGUGGGGAGCAAACAGGAUUAGAUACCCUGGUAGUCCACGCCCUAAACGAUGUCAACUAGUUGUUGGGGAUUCAUUUCCUUAGUAACGUAGCUAACGCGUGAAGUUGACCGCCUGGGGAGUACGGUCGCAAGAUUAAAACUCAAAGGAAUUGACGGGGUCAUAGCUGUUUCCU
rnacentral:rRNA from 1 species